AAAAAACACAACAACACACGCAUGGGCUCGCCUCCUCUCCCUCUCGCCCAUUAAGUCGCCGCCGCCGCCGCCCACACCGGCCGCUUUCGGCGACCUCCAGCGUCGUGCAGCAUGCCCCCGAGCUCCCCACGGUCCGCGCCUCCCUUCCCUCCGGCUAGAUUCUCCGCUCCCGGACUCUACCGCACGCUCGCAACCCCACCCCGUGGCUAGGGUUUCGGGCAGGGCUUCGCCGGCGCGUCUCCGGCGACCCCAGAUGGAGCACGCCGUGAGAUUUCCCCAUCCACCACGGUCGCCGCCGUCAAGGGCUUCUUCACGGAUCUGGGACGCCAUGGACAUGCAGCUCCUCAAGGACUUUCUAUUGAAACAUCUUGUCCAUCAUGUGUAGAACACGAUGCACCGUUAAGUCAAGGUUCAGGACGACGUAUAUCGUAGCCCCAUGCUGGCUUUUUUCCAAUGCAGGACCUUCUACAUCUCUGCAUAUCGAUCCAUUUUGGACCUCAGUAGAAAAUUCAUCAUUUUAGUGUCCAUCUGAAGAAUCACAUCGUGAUAGGAACAAGGACAAUGGCUGGCAUGUUGGUAGGAAUCUGAGAUGAUAAAAAAUAGUACUCAUCCAACUGCUAACUGAAUAUGCUGGAAAUUAGCUCAUAGUUACACAUAUAUUAUUACUGGGGCAGUACUGCCCUAGACUUGCAUAUUCAGAAUUAAUUGAUCUCACACAGUAGUGCCAUUUGUCGACACACCGUAUGAUAUAUGAAUAAAACCAUAAAAGUGUAUAUGAAACUGUAUAAUCUGGCACUUCGUUUCAUGCCUACAUCAAUGCAAUGUCCUUUUUAUGUUAUCAUGGCAUACAUAGAUAAUUAAAUGAGGAUUCUUUGAUAAUGUCUCCAUCUCUUGAGCUAAGCACAUGCUGUCAACAUCAUGGAACGACAUGGAGCUGCAGACAUGCACUUUGGCGCAGAGGUUGACUUGCAGCUGCGUCUGCAAUCUCCCAAACAAAUGAGCAGCACCAUGCAGUUGUGGGCUUGCAGCAGGUUGGCGGGCGAAUGGUCAUAGCAGGAAUACAACGGGCAUGUCGACUGCUGCGAGUAUUCCAUUCAAGUCGACAACUAUAUUUGCAAGAGUUUUACACCACCGUAUGAUCGAUGAAUUCGAGGUCUGAGGCCCGUCCAGGGGCUAGAGCAGAUUCAUCGGACGGUGGAGUUGAGUGACCCACUCAUUGAUACCAGGUGUGCUCAAGUGAAGCCAGGGAUUUGAUCCAUCCAUCUCGGAGCGCAUGAAUCAACAGAGGAUCCAUCCAGUCAAACAAGUGAAUUUAGGCUUGAUUAAUUAGCAGGAGCAUACGAGUGUCUUUUGCACAUGUAGUUUAGGUUUGUACAGGUUCAGGUAGUCAACUGUUAAGCAUGGUAGGAUCCGCAAGCUGGGCAGUAGGCAGCGUCACGGUACGAUCCAGCAGGACGGCGGAGGAGGCGGCCCGUGGUGACUGGGGAGGAUACAAAGGGGGAUGGAGAGGUUGCGGGAAAUUUAUGGGUCUGGACUGGAGCAGAGGGAGAUAGAGAAUGGGUGAGAAAGAUGGAGAUGUUGAUAGGUAAUACCUGUUGGAAAGAGAUGUUGAUAGUUUACUUUUCUUCAUCUCCAACGCAACUAUCAACUGAUGCGCUGACUGUAUCAUCACAGUUCUCAU
rnacentral:rRNA from 1 species